rnacentral:misc_RNA from 1 species
GUGAGGAUGAGUGACAUCAGCUCCCAUAAAGAUCGCAGGUUCAUCAGAAUGAAGAAGACGUGGAAUCUGAGAGGGUAAUGAAUUGUACAAUGCAACUGUACAUCCUCCAACUUUGGCAUUGAUCUUGAGAGACAAAUUAGCCAAAAAUUGUGAACUCAACUUGCCAAGAUUGGCAAACAAGCAGCACUGGCUUACAACACCUACAUUUGUCUCCGCUAUUCGCUUCAAAUCUGCAUAUCCUUUGUGUCUCUUCUCCAUUAUACAAAUAAGCAGCUGGAGAUUGUUCGAGGCAGCUUUGUGGAUUUUCUUGAGUUUUGAUUCCAGAAGGGCGACAUUAUUGAGCACUUGAGUUGGCUCAUAUUGAGGGCUAAUUAUUGUGCUUUUGCUAAGAAAGAUGCCUAAAUGUUCACACCUUUGAGAUAGCUGGUUUAUGAAUUUUGGAAUGUUAGACUUCU